rnacentral:rRNA from 1 species
GUGACUGCGUACCUUUUGUAUAAUGGGUCAGCGACUUAUAUUUAGUAGCAAGGUUAAGCGAAUAGCGGAGCCGUAGCGAAAGCGAGUGUUAACUGCGCGUUUAGUUGCUAGGUAUAGACCCGAAACCCGGUGAUCUAGCCAUGAGCAGGUUGAAGGUUGAGUAACAUCAACUGGAGGACCGAACCCACUGACGUUGAAAAGUCAGGGGAUGACUUGUGGCUGGGGGUGAAAGGCCAAUCAAACCGGGAGAUAGCUGGUUCUCCCCGAAAUCUAUUUAGGUAGAGCCUCGGACGAAUUCCAUUGGGGGUAGAGCACUGUUAAGGCUAGGGGGUCAUCCCGACUUACCAACCCUUUGCAAACUCCGAAUACCAAUGAGAACUAUCCGGGAGACACACGGCGGGUGCUAACGUCCGUCGUGGAGAGGGAAACAACCCAGACCGCCAGCUAAGGUCCCAAAAUAUUGCUAAGUGGGAAACGAUGUGGGAAGGCAUAGACAGCUAGGAGGUUGGCUUAGAAGCAGCCAUCCUUUAAAGAAAGCGUAAUAGCUCACUAGUCGAGUCGGCCUGCGCGGAAGAUGUAACGGGGCUAAGCAAUAUACCGAAGCUGCGGCAGCACAGUUUACUGUGCUGGGUAGGGGAGCGUUGUGUAAGUGGAUGAAGGUGAGUUGUAAAGCUUGCUGGACAUAUCACAAGUGCGAAUGCUGACAUGAGUAACGAUAAUGGGAGUGAAAAACUCCCACGCCGGAAGACCAAGGUUUCCUGUCCCAUGCUAAUCAGGGCAGGGUAAGUCGGCCCCUAAGGCGAGGCAGAAAUGCGUAGUCGAUGGGAAACGGAUUAAUAUUUCCGUACUUAUAUAAUCAGUGAUGGAGGGACGGAGAAGGCUAGGCAAGCUUGGCGUUGGUUGUCCAAGUGAAAGUGCGUAGACCGAGAACUUAGGUAAAUCCGGGUUCUUAAAGUCGAGACACGAGACGAGCCACCAAGGUGGUGAAGUUGUUGAUGCCCUGCUUCCAGGAAAAGCUUCUAAACUUAUGAUUAUAUGAACCGUACCCCAAACCGACACAGGUGGUCAGGUAGAGAAUACUAAGGCGCUUGAGAGAACUCGGGUGAAGGAACUCGGCAAAAUUGUACCGUAACUUCGGGAGAAGGUACGCCUCUGUGUGUGAAGACUUCGCGUCGUAAGCACAUGGAGGCCGCAGUGACCAGGUGGCUGGGACUGUUUAUUAAAAACACAGCACUCUGCAAACUCGUAAGAGGACGUAUAGGGUGUGACACCUGCCCGGUGCCGGAAGGUUAAUUGAUGGG